AACGCGAAGAACCUUACCUGGGUUAAAUCCACCGGAAUCUUCUAGAGAUAGAGGAGUGCCCUUCGGGGAACCGGUGAGAAGGUGCUGCAUGGCUGUCGUCAGCUCGUGUCGUGAGAUGUUGGGUUAAGUCCCGCAACGAGCGCAACCCUCGUCGUCAGUUGCCAGCGGUUCGGCCGGGCACUCAGACGAGACUGCCGACGUGAAGUCGGAGGAAGGUGGGGAUGACGUCAAGUCCUCAUGGCCCUUAUGCCCAGGGCUACACACGUGCUACAAUGGCCGGUACAAAGGGUCGCCAACUCGCAAGAGCCAGCCAAUCCCAAAAAACCGGUCUCAGUUCGGAUUGGAGUCUGCAACUCGACUCCAUGAAGUUGGAAUCGCUAGUAAUCGCGGAUCAGCACGCCGCGGUGAAUACGUUCCCGGGCCUUGUA
rnacentral:rRNA from 1 species